rnacentral:rRNA from 1 species
AUUGAACGCUGGCGGCAGGCCUAACACAUGCAAGUCGAGCGGCAGCGGAAAGUAGCUUGCUACUUUGCCGGCGAGCGGCGGACGGGUGAGUAAUGUCUGGGAAACUGCCUGAUGGAGGGGGAUAACUUCUGGAAACGGUAGCUAAUACCGCAUAACGUCGCAAGACCAAAGAGGGGGACCUUCGGGCCUCUUGCCAUCAGAUGUGCCCAGAUGGGAUUAGCUAGUAGGUGGGGUAACGGCUCACCUAGGCGACGAUCCCUAGAUGGUCUGAGAGGAUGACCAGCCACACUGGAACUGAGACACGGUCCAGACUCCUACGGGAGGCAGCAGUGGGGAAUAUUGCACAAUGGGCGCAAGCCUGAUGCAGCCAUGCCGAGUGUAUGAAGAAGGCCUUCGGGUUGUAAAGUACUUUCAGCGGGGAGGAAGGUGUUGAGGUUAAUAACCUCAGCAAUUGACGUUACCCGCAGAAGAAGCACCGGCUAACUCCGUGCCAGCCGCCGCAGUAACAC